GACGAACGCUGGCGGCGUGCUUAACACAUGCAAGUCGAACGGAAAGGCCCUGCUUUUGUGGGGUGCUCGAGUGGCGAACGGGUGAGUAACACGUGAGUAACCUGCCCUUGACUUUGGGAUAACUUCAGGAAACUGGGGCUAAUACCGGAUAGGAGCUCCUGCUGCAUGGUGGGGGUUGGAAAGUUUCGGCGGUUGGGGAUGGACUCGCGGCUUAUCAGCUUGUUGGUGGGGUAGUGGCUUACCAAGGCUUUGACGGGUAGCCGGCCUGAGAGGGUGACCGGCCACAUUGGGACUGAGAUACGGACCAGACUCCUACGGGAGGCAGCAGUGGGGAAUAUUGCACAAUGGGCGGAAGCCUGAUGCAGCAACGCCGCGUGCGGGAUGACGGCCUUCGGGUUGUAAACCGCUUUCGCCUGGGACGAAGCGUGAGUGACGGUAAUGGGUAAAGAAGCACCGGCUAACUACGUG
rnacentral:rRNA from 1 species